AAUGCCGGAUGCUCCAUCACACCGCAUGGUGUGUUGGGAAAGCCUUUGCGGCAUGGGAUGGGGUCGCGUCCUAUCAGCUUGAUGGCGGGGUAACGGCCCACCAUGGCUUCGACGGGUAGCCGGCCUGAGAGGGCGACCGGCCACAUUGGGACUGAGAUACGGCCCAGACUCCUACGGGAGGCAGCAGUGGGGAAUAUUGCACAAUGGGCGCAAGCCUGAUGCAGCGACGCCGCGUGAGGGAUGGAGGCCUUCGGGUUGUAAACCUCUUUUGUUAGGGAGCAAGGCAUUUUGUGUUGAGUGUACCUUUCGAAUAAGCACCGGCUAACUACGUGCCAGCAGCCGCGGUAAUACGUAGGGUGCAAGCGUUAUCCGGAAUUAUUGGGCGUAAAGGGCUCGUAGGCGGUUCGUCGCGUCCGGUGUGAAAGUCCAUCGCUUAACGGUGGAUCCGCGCCGGGUACGGGCGGGCUUGAGUGCGGUAGGGGAGACUGGAAUUCCCGGUGUAACGGUGGAAUGUGUAGAUAUCGGAAA
rnacentral:rRNA from 1 species